rnacentral:rRNA from 1 species
AACGAACGCUGGCGGCGUGCCUAACACAUGCAAGUCGUGCGAGAAAGUUCCUUCGGGAGCGAGUAAAGCGGCGCACGGGUGAGUAACACGUAGGUAACCUGCCCCCCAGUCUGGAACCACUAGAGGAAACUCUAGCUAAUGCCGGAUGAGACCACGAUCCCUUCGGGGGUUGCGGCCAAAGAUGGCCUCUACUUGUAAGCUAUCGCUGAGGGAUGGGCCUGCGGGCCAUUAGCUUGUUGGUGAGGUAACGGCUCACCAAGGCUGUGAUGGCUAGCUGGUCUGAGAGGAUGACCAGCCACACUGGGACUGAGACACGGCCCAGACUCCUACGGGAGGCAGCAGUGGGAAUAUUGCGCAAUGGGCGAAAGCCUGACGCAGCGACGCCGCGUGGGUGAUGAAGGCCU